UUGGCUCAGGAUGAACGCUGGCGGCGUGCCUAACACAUGCAAGUCGAACGAAGCACUGAGAGUUUGAGAUUUCGGUCAAGAACUUUCUUUGACUUAGUGGCGGACGGGUGAGUAAUGCGUGAGCAACCUGCCUUUCAGAGGGGGACAACAGUUGGAAACGACUGCUAAUACCGCAUGAUAUAUUCGGAUGGCAUCGUCUGAAUAUCAAAGAUUUAUCGCUGAAAGAUGGGCUCACGUCUGAUUAGUUAGUCGGUGAGGUAACGGCUCACCAAGACUGCGAUCAGUAGCCGGACUGAGAGGUUGAACGGCCACAUUGGGACUGAGAUACGGCCCARACUCCUACGGGAGGCAGCAGUGGGGAAU
rnacentral:rRNA from 1 species